rnacentral:rRNA from 1 species
UUAAAUUGAAGAGUUUGAUCAUGGCUCAGAUUGAACGCUGGCGGCAGGCCUAACACAUGCAAGUCGAACGGUAACAGGAAGAAGCUUGCUUCUUUGCUGACGAGUGGCGGACGGGUGAGUAAUGUCUGGGAAACUGCCUGAUGGAGGGGGAUAACUACUGGAAACGGUAGCUAAUACCGCAUAACGUCGCAAGACCAAAGAGGGGGACCUUCGGGCCUCUUGCCAUCGGAUGUGCCCAGAUGGGAUUAGCUAGUAGGUGGGGUAACGGCUCACCUAGGCGACGAUCCCUAGCUGGUCUGAGAGGAUGACC